CAAGAAGUAGUUUAAUUAGAAUAUCAGCUUUGGGUGUUGAUGGUAGGGAAAAUAGUCCUUCUUCUUGA
rnacentral:tRNA from 1 species